AGAGUUUGAUCCUGGCUCAGGAUGAACGCUGGCGGCGUGCCUAAUACAUGCAAGUCGAGCGAACGGACGAGAAGCUUGCUUCUCUGAUGUUAGCGGCGGACGGGUGAGUAACACGUGGAUAACCUACCUAUAAGACUGGGAUAACUUCGGGAAACCGGAGCUAAUACCGGAUGAUAUUUUGAACCGCAUGGUUCAAAAGUGAAAGACGGUCUUGCUGUCACUUAUAGAUGGAUCCGCGCUGCAUUAGCUAGUUGGUAAGGUAACGGCUUACCAAGGCAACGAUGCAUAGCCGACCUGAGAGGGUGAUCGGCCACACUGGAACUGAGACACGGUCCAGACUCCUACGGGAGGCAGCAGUAGGGAAUCUUCCGCAAUGGGCGAAAGCCUGACGGAGCAACGCCGCGUGAGUGAUGAAGGUCUUCGGAUCGUAAAACUCUGUUAUUAGGGAAGAACAUAUGUGUAAGUAACUGUGCACAUCUUGACGGUACCUAAUCAGAAAGCCACGGCUAACUACGUGCCAGCAGCCGCGGUAAUACGUAGGUGGCAAGCGUUAUCCGGAAUUAUUGGGCGUAAAGCGCGCGUAGGCGGUUUUUUAAGUCUGAUGUGAAAGCCCACGGCUCAACCGUGGAGGGUCAUUGGAAACUGGAAAACUUGAGUGCAGAAGAGGAAAGUGGAAUUCCAUGUGUAGCGGUGAAAUGCGCAGAGAUAUGGAGGAACACCAGUGGCGAAGGCGACUUUCUGGUCUGUAACUGACGCUGAUGUGCGAAAGCGUGGGGAUCAAACAGGAUUAGAUACCCUGGUAGUCCACGCCGUAAACGAUGAGUGCUAAGUGUUAGGGGGUUUCCGCCCCUUAGUGCUGCAGCUAACGCAUUAAGCACUCCGCCUGGGGAGUACGACCGCAAGGUUGAAACUCAAAGGAAUUGACGGGGACCCGCACAAGCGGUGGAGCAUGUGGUUUAAUUCGAAGCAACGCGAAGAACCUUACCAAAUCUUGACAUCCUUUGACAACUCUAGAGAUAGAGCCUUCCCCUUCGGGGGACAAAGUGACAGGUGGUGCAUGGUUGUCGUCAGCUCGUGUCGUGAGAUGUUGGGUUAAGUCCCGCAACGAGCGCAACCCUUAAGCUUAGUUGCCAUCAUUAAGUUGGGCACUCUAAGUUGACUGCCGGUGACAAACCGGAGGAAGGUGGGGAUGACGUCAAAUCAUCAUGCCCCUUAUGAUUUGGGCUACACACGUGCUACAAUGGACAAUACAAAGGGCAGCGAAACCGCGAGGUCAAGCAAAUCCCAUAAAGUUGUUCUCAGUUCGGAUUGUAGUCUGCAACUCGACUACAUGAAGCUGGAAUCGCUAGUAAUCGUAGAUCAGCAUGCUACGGUGAAUACGUUCCCGGGUCUUGUACACACCGCCCGUCACACCACGAGAGUUUGUAACACCCGAAGCCGGUGGAG
rnacentral:rRNA from 1 species